GGCAUGCUGGCGGCGGAAGGAUGCUGCUGCCCCUGCUCCUGCUGGGUGCCCUCACGGCACUCCUCCUGGACCCAGGGGACAGAGUGCAGGCCUGGAGCUGGGUCCGCUUCUGCUACCACUGCGACCACUUCGACGGCUUCCGGUGCCGCGGGGGCAUGAAGAGCUGCUGGACCGCUGC